AACGAACGCUGGCGGCAUGCCUAAUACAUGCAAGUCGAACGAGAUCUUCGUAUCUAGUUGCGCUCGGGGGCGUAACGCGGGGGAAGCUGCCCGUGGGUUCCGAAUACCUUCUUUUAACGGAAGCUAAUGCCGGAUGAUGUCGUAAGUCCAAGGAUUUGUCGCCCAAGGAUGAGCCCGCGUAGGAUUAGGUAGUUGGGGAGGUAAAGGCUCACCAAGCCGAGGAUCGUUAGCUGGUCUGAGAGGAUGAUCAGCCACACUGGGACUGAGACACGGCCGAGAAUCGUACGGGAGGGAGCAGUAGGGAAUACUGGAAAAGGGGCGAAGGCCUGAUACAGCAAUGCCGGGUGAGUGAUGAAGGGCUUAGGGUAGUAAAGCUCUUUUACACGGGAUGAUAAUGACAGUACCGGGAGAAUAAGCACCGGCUAACUACGUG
rnacentral:rRNA from 1 species